UCCAAAAAGACAUACAGAUGGCCAAUGCACCCAUGAAAAGAUCUUUGACAUCACUAAUCAUCAGGCAAAUGCAAAUUGAGACCAAAAUGAGCUAUCACCUUAUACCAUUUAGAAUGGCUAAUAUCAAAAUGACAAGACAUAACAAGUGCUGACACGGAUGUAGAGAAAAAAACCCUGUACACUGCUGGUAGAAAUGUAAAUUGGUACAGCCACUGUGGAAAACAUUAUGGAGUUUCCUCAAAAAAUUAAAAGUAGAAUUACCAUUUAAUCGAGUAAUUUCACUACUGCAUAUUUGCCCAAGUA